GCAGGGUGUGGUGUCCCACGCCUGUAAUCCCAGCUACCUGGGAGGCUGAGGCAGGAGGAUGGAAAGUUCAAGGACAGCCCUGCAACUUAGCAAGACCUUGUCUCAA
rnacentral:sRNA from 1 species